rnacentral:rRNA from 1 species
GAUGAACGCUGGCGGCGUGCCUAAUACAUGCAAGUCGAGCGAACAGAUGAGGAGCUUGCUCCUCUGACGUUAGCGGCGGACGGGUGAGUAAAACGUGGAUAACCUACCUAUAAGACUGGGAUAACUUCGGGAAACCGGAGCUAAUACCGGAUAAUAUAUUGAACCGCAUGGUUCAAUAGUGAAAGACGGUUUUGCUGUCACUUAUAGAUGGAUCCGCGCCGCAUUAGCUAGUUGGUAAGGUAACGGCUUACCAAGGCAACGAUGCGUAGCCGACCUGAGAGGGUGAUCGGCCACACUGGAACUGAGACACGGUCCAGACUCCGACGGGAGGCAGCAGUAGGGAAUCUUCCGCAAUGGGCGAAAGCCUGACGGAGCAACGCCGCGUGAGUGAUGAAGGUCUUCGGAUCGUAAAACUCUGUUAUUAGUGAAGAACAAAUGUGUAAGUAACUAUGCACGUCUUGACGGUACCUAAUCAGAAAGCCACGGCUAACUACGUG